AACGAACGCUGGCGGCAUGCCUAACACAUGCAAGUCGAACGAGACCUUCGGGUCUAGUGGCGCACGGGUGCGUAACGCGUGGGAACCUGCCCUUAGGUUCGGAAUAACUCCCCGAAAGGGGUGCUAAUACCGGUUAAUGUCUUCGGUCCAAAGAUUUCUCGCCUUUGGAUGGGCCCGCGUUUGAUUAGCUAGUUGGUAGGGUAAAAGCCUACCAAGGCGACGAUCCAUAGCUGGUCUGAGAGGAUGAUCAGCCACACUGGGACUGAGACACGGCCCAGACUCCUACGGGAGGCAGCAGUGGGGAAUAUUGGACAAUGGGCGAAAGCCUGAUCCAGCAAUGCCGCGUGAGUGAUGAAGGCCUUAGGGUUGUAAAGCUCUUUUACCCGGGAUGAUAAUGACAGUACCGGGAGAAUAAGCUCCGGCUAACUCCGUG
rnacentral:rRNA from 1 species